AAAUAAGAUCUCUUACCAGAGAAGACCAAUCAAAUCGUUGUGUCGCCUUUCUGCCACAACUGACUGUGGUGUCAAGAAGUCCACAACUUCUUGGUGGCGUGAAGCAAGAAAGUGACAAAUUGUAAUCAUGCUGUAUUCUCAUUGUUUAAAUUGCAUACGCUGUAGGCCUUAUAACGAAAUUAAGACUUGAGAAAAAUACGGCCCAGGCUCUCUACUGUGAUUAUUCGUGUAUCAUAGAUAUUUUUGUCAUUGAAAGAAUCCUGUACGUAGAACAUGUCGCUUACUGUACAAAGCAUUUACACUUACCUGCCUUGGUGCUCUUACACUAUCAAAGACUCGAUUCAAUCGUCACCAAUGAACAUCAAUUUUUCGGAAAAUCAUGGCUUUUCUGCUACAUACAUGUACUGAUUAUAGCACUUGUACAUGAAACAGGCAUUAUACAAACCCUAAUUUUUCUAUAGCCAAAUUUCUCUCUGUUGAAUGACCUUAAAAAGACAAUUAAGGCUUGUCAAAGUGUGGCGAGGCCUAGGUGCGUAUCUGCGGAGUUUUGUGAACAAGGAAGUGACCCAUUUUAUAUUUUACACGACGCACGGUGUAGCUCCGUGUUAACAACAAAGCUGCUAAGGGGGAAAGAAAAACAUGAACAACAAUGGGACCAACCUCUGUUGCCACUGCCCUGUAAUAUUUUACUGGUGACUCCGCACAAUAUCGCCCUAUAGGAAGUAGCUAAUGUUAUCAAGCCUCUAUUAGAUGCUCCACAAGACUCUGGCUACUGUAACGCGAGUGACAGUUUCAGACAGUUUCAUAGUAAGGACAAGAGUGACUACAAUGAAGGAAUUGUUACAACUGUAUGUAUUUUUCUGUAUAUACAGUUCGGUCAUUGACCUACGUGGCGCUGACACAGUACCAGAGUACGUGUUGUAUGUGUACGAGAAAAGG